UUUACUCUCAUUUUCUUUCCAUGUCACGACAGUGCGUUGUUGCAUGCGUAAAAACUUGGGGGUUAUGGAACGGAAAAAAUCCUUGAUGUGAAAAGGUUGUUUGGGGCGUUUUCUCUCCCAACCUAUCACAUUUUCUUAUUUUCCAGAUAUCACAGAACGUGUGCAUUUGCAGUUCUGGCGUUGUUCCGUGCAGUUACCACUGCUAUUACAACAGGAAAUUAUUUUGGCCUAUUUCUCUUAACGUUUAAAGAUAUUUUUGAAACCGGGUACGACGUCAGCAAAUAGCAUACACACCUGAACCAGAUUUCAUUCCCAAACUGCAUCGGUCACUGCACUUCAACAGACGUUAGAUCCUACGCCUACACCUCCCGCGAUGGCGUUUUUUUUAACAAUUGGAACCUGCGAAAUGGAUAUCGAUACCGUUUCCAGCCUACUCUUUCCUCUCCUGCGAUGGUGUUCUGACUUUUAACGUGCCGCUGAUGAGAAGGGGUUGUAAGCCACUGGUACCCAUCUGUCCAAUCUUCUCCCCAUGCCGGAGAGAUAGAUCUAAGUAUUACACUAAUUCUAGUUCGAACUGUUUAAUGCUUGAACAAUCCACCUCGCUAUUAAUUGAAUAGUCUUUCACACAAUCCUAUUUCUCGUGGCUGCGAUGUCAGGCAACGGUUUAUAGCAUAGAAUAUUUGUUCUACAAUGGAACACAUCAUUUAAAUUAAGUUUUAAGGAUUCAUUAAGCCCUGCAUUUGUGAUACGAUCAGCGGACAUACGCACGUUAGACCUAAAGCUAUCAGUAACCAGCGUGAAGCAUUUCAUCUCUUUGAAAAUGAGGACGAUGCCAUAACCGGUGAAUUCGAUAAAGUAAAUGGUCUCUAACCAAAACCACGUUCCAGUUCCAAGUUUUUCCUGGAAAAUGUGGAGUCGUUUCAUCUUUUUUUUCUUUCUGUACUCCGACGUUGCGUUAUCACAGUGAAAAUUUUGGGGUAUUGAACGAAAAAAAUCCAUAGUGAGAAAGGCAUUUGUCGUUUUAGUAUGUUUCGAUCAUCGAAAUUCUUUUUGUUGAGUAAGGUCAUGCUCUAGUCGUUGAAUUUCGUGGAAACAGCCGUUAAAAGAUUUGUUUCUGUUUAUAUACUUUUUUGUUGUCACAUUAUGCAUACGAUAUAGUCCUGAACCGGAUUUCAUUCCGGAACUGUCAUAAACUUGAGCAGAUGUAGCCUACAUUUCUGUCGCAUGUUUUUGAGUCGUCGUCAUUGGCUGUUUGUCACCGCUUGUUUUUAAACGCCACACGUCUAAAACAGAUGUUUACAUCGUUUUUUUCCACAUUCAUCCAUGUCAUUGGGUAUAGUUUAGACGUCAAUCCUUCUAUGUGAAAUUAGUAUAUAAAACAAUGGAGACUCUAUAGCUAAACCAGAACAUCACUCGACAUCAUCACUCACGUAAAGUAGAAUUCUGAAAAAUGCUGCGUCAAGUAGCAAUCCUCUUCUUCAUGGUAUCCGCUAUGACUUUGGUUUACUCGCUGCCGGCCUUGCACCACGCUGAGACUCUAGACCCACUGGGACGAGUUCCCUAACGUGACUCUUACCUUUAACUGCACUAAUCAUCCAUAUGGAUUUUACGCCGAUCAAGAUUUUGCGUGCAGGCUCUACCAUUUUUGCGGCGCGUACGGUCGCCGUAUCAAUUACAUGUGCGUGUCCGGAACUGCUUUCAACCAGCGAUACGGCUUCUGCGAUAAGAUCCACAACUUUGACUGCAAAGAAGCUAUCAAGUGGUAUUUUUGUCAGCCUUAUGUCAAUGCUCCAGCUCCCUCAGGGCCUUUUGUCCUUCCCGGACCCGUAUCCAUCAAACUGCCUUGACCUAUCCUUUACACCUUACACUCUCGCCAGUUUUGGGAAUUUAGUGUGGUCUAUGCAUUCGAAUAACGAGCAUGCGGAAUCUUGGCGAUUAGCCAAAUACAAAAGUUAAAUUGCC
rnacentral:lncRNA from 1 species